rnacentral:tRNA from 1 species
UGGAGUGCUGGCCAGCGUGGGGAUUAAGAGGUUUGCAAACCUCCUGGUACCCGGUCCAAAAAGUGCAGUCGUCGGUUCGAAUCCGACCACCUCAACCA